CAAGUCUGCGUGAGCGCGCGAUGUUUGAAGAGACCCGAGACCGGUUGAUGAUGCACACGAUGGAUUUGGAAAACAUCAUGAAACGGUGUUCAUGGAGUUCUACAGGAUUGUGGGCAAGAAUCUCAAGCAGUCAUCUAACUGAGAUAUUUCAGUCUAAAGAGGGAAUGCUGGGCAGCUGUUGACCGCUUUCACAAAAAAUCAAGACUAAAGAGCCAGCUGAUACUGUUUCUGGUGCUCAGAGGGCUCCCUUUUGCCCUUUGCGACAACCCUACAGAUUUCUACAAAGUAUGCUUUGACAAUGAUGACGAUUACUCAUUCCACCACCUGGACAUUGGAAUCAUCCUCACUGAGCAUGAAGGUGAUGUGCUCUCAUCCUCUCUCCGUCUCAAUCCAGCCUCAUUGAAGGAGAUUUUGUGAUGGACAGUAUUGAAGACUUGUCAAAAGCUAUGUGCAUUCUGUAUGGACUUGCGCUCUGCAUCUCAACUACCCUAAAUCUAUGAAGAACACAUUCCAGAUCAUCCAACAGGUACUUCUCAUGUUGGGCCACAGUGAACUAAAACCCAGGUUGCAAACUCUGAAAAAUUGUCCUACAAUGUUAGGAAAUGCGAGAAGCUUCCAUGAGAAGUCACUUGUGUUCUGCCGUACGAGACAUUAAAGUGUAUUCUGUCUCUGCAUAUUAGUGCUGUUAGUGCUCAGUUCAUGCGUGUUCACACAAUUCUUCAGCCAAGUUUAAAGUUACAGAGACUUGCCUGUUUUAAUUUAAGCCCAGUUGUUAAUGCACAUCCAGGCUUUCACAAGAGAUAUAGCAUAUAUUCUUGAAUACUGUGUUCAUGUUUCUUCUACAAAAUAGUUACAAUUGUUAACAAG